rnacentral:rRNA from 1 species
GACGAACGCUGGCGGCAUGCCUAACACAUGCAAGUCUAGGGGUAGCAAUACCACUGGCGCACGGGUGAGUAACACGUAGGUUAUCUGCCCCCAUCACAGACAUAACCCCGGGAACCGGGGCUAAUAUCUGAUGAGGUCGCGAGAUCAAAGCUUCGGCGGAUGGGGAUGAGCCUGCGGCUGAUUAGCUAGUUGGUGAGGUAAUGGCUCACCAAGGCGACGAUCAGUAGCUGGUCUGAGAGGACGAACAGCCACACUGGAACUGAGACACGGUCCAGACUCCUACGGGAGGCAGCAGUGAGGAAUAUUGGUCAAUGGGAGCAAUCCUGAACCAGCAAUGCCGCGUGUGGGAUGACAGGGCUUCGCCUUGUAAACCACUGUCGGACGGGACGAAAGGAGGCCUCGGGCCUCUGGGACGGUACCGUCAAAGGAAGGAUCGGCUAACUACGUGCCAGCAGCCGCGGUAAU